rnacentral:rRNA from 1 species
CGUGGCGGCGUGGAUUAGGCAUGCAAGUCGUACGGGCCGCAAGGCCAGUGGCGCAAGGGUGAGUAAGGCGACGGUAACCAACCCCAUGACUGGGUAUAGCCGCGGGAAACCGCGGGUAAUCCCCAGCGACGUCCGGGGGGGGCAUCCCCCCCGGGACCAAAGCUCCGGCGUCGUGGGACGGGCCGUCGUGGUAUUAGGUUGUUGGCGGGGUAACGGCCCACCAAGCCUGCGAUGCCUACCGGGCGUGCGAGCGUGGCCCGGCACACUGGGACUGAGACACUGCCCAGACUCCUACGGGAGGCUGCAGUCGAGAAUCUUCGGCAAUGGGCGCAAGCCUGACCGAGCGACGCCGCGUGGAGGACGAAGGCCUUCGGGUUGUAAACUCCUGUCGAGGGGGAAGAAGGGGCCGCGAGGCCCUUGACUGAUCCCUGGAGGAAGCACGGGCUAAGUUCGUGCCAGCAGCCGCGGUAAGACGAACCGUGCGAACGUUAUUCGGAAUCACUGGGCUUAAAGCGCGUGUAGGCGGGACGGCACGUCGGCCGCUGAAAUCCCCCGGCUCAACCGGGGAAGGGGCGCCGAUACGACCGCCCUGGAGGGACGUAGGGGGGGCUGGAACAUCCGGUGGAGCGGUGAAAUGCGUUGAGAUCGGAUGGAACGCCCGUGGCGAAAGCGAGCCCCUGGACGUCUUCUGACGCUGAGACGCGAAAGCCAGGGGAGCGAACGGGAUUAGAUACCCCGGUAGUCCUGGCCCUAAACGAUGAGAACUAGGUAGUAGACUUGACAUGGGUUUACUGCUGAAGCAAAAGUGAAAAGUUCUCCGCCUGGGGAGUAUGGUC